GGACGAUUAGCUCACUUGGCUAGAGCGCCUGUUUGACGUACAGGAGGUAACAGGUUCGAUUCCUGUAUCGUCCACCA
rnacentral:tRNA from 1 species